GGCUGCGGGGGUCUCUGUGGCCGUGGAGGUGCGGGGCCGCUCUGCGGGGCCUGGGAAGCGGGGCUGGUCCCGUUCGCCGUGCCCGGCCUUGCCUGCGCCGGUGGUUUGCCGGGUUCCGCUGUAGCAGCAAUUUCGCAAGUGGAGCGGGUGCCUCUGGCUGACUUCUGUUUAUGGGAUGAAAGCUCUACCUAUGGACAUACAUAAAUUGCAUCAUUACCUGCUACUGUUUUCUGAUGUGGAGCGAGUUCCAGACUGGCACCAGUUAGUGUCUUAACAGGGGCAGUGUGAACACCCUGAACUUCAACUGCAAACAAAUGCAUACAAGGAUCGACGUUGCUGAAUGUGCCUUUGGCAAGAUACAGUUUGAUGACACUGAACAUUCCCAGUGAAACACCAGUUCCUUAGUAUGAUACAAGUUGUUUACUGGACAGACAUUUCCUGUUAUUACAGGAAAUUUUUCCUAAGAAGACAAAAACUGAGAGCUCUUAGCUGUGACCACAGAGAGAAACUGGAAUUAUAUUCUAAGUGGAUACAAGUUUAAUUUCAUCAGAAUAUGCAGGAGAAUGAAAAUUGGCACAGGACUAUACUUGAGUUGGAAGGAGUGAAGCAUGAUGCAUAAAGAGGAGGUUUCACUCUCUUGAAGUAUUCUUGUGGAAGAAAUACUAUGUAUAGCUUUUCUCAUGUGGACAUACUACGUACUUGUUUCUGGGUAGGUACAGAAGAAGAAUCACAUUUGGCUAUCCCACUUACCCACGGUCCCAUUGCUUUGAGCAAUGAGUUGCAGGGCAACAGAUAUUUUGUUCUAGAACUCUGCACAAUCAUUUCUUAAAUGUUUUUAACAUCAACCUAUCUUUCCUGUAAAUUACUCCAAACACUUGUCUCUGUCAGAUACUUCAGAAAUUAUUUCAAAAUCUGUGUUUUGAUUAUCCUUCCCUGUCACUCUAACAAGCCCUUUAAAGUAAUUAUCACAUGAAGAAUUUCACAAACUGAAAAUCAUAUGUAUAAAUUCAUAUUAAAAAAACUGCACAAAAUACUUUUUGUAAAGUGCUUUUUUAUUAUGCAUUGUCAACAGUUAAAUGAUAUGUUGCUGUUUCAUGCAAGCUGGAAUAGUGUUAAGAGAGCAAAUGUUAAUCCAUAAACACGUUAAGGAAAAAAAUUGCUAAAUCUGCCUAAGUUUGUACAGGUUUAAAUAUGAAAAGGAAAAGCUGCUUCACUUAAAAUGACUUUGAAUUAGAUACUGAAACAACCACUAGUCUAUUUGUUCCCAAGC